rnacentral:rRNA from 1 species
GAUGAACGCUGGCGGCGUGCCUAAUACAUGCAAGUCGAGCGAACAGACGAGGAGCUUGCUCCUCUGACGUUAGCGGCGGACGGGUGAGUAACACGUGGAUAACCUACCUAUAAGACUGGGAUAACUUCGGGAAACCGGAGCUAAUACCGGAUAAUAUAUUGAACCGCAUGGUUCAAUAGUGAAAGACGGUUUUGCUGUCACUUAUAGAUGGAUCCGCGCCGCAUUAGCUAGUUGGUAAGGUAACGGCUUACUAAGGCGACGAUGCGUAGCCGACCUGACAGGGUGCUCGGCCACUCUGGAACUGACACACGGUCCAGACUCCUACGGGAGGCAGCAGUAGGGAAUCUUCCGCAAGGGGCGAAAGCCUGACGGAGCAACGCCGCGUGAGUGAUGAAGGUCUUCGGAUCGUAAAACUCUGUUAUUAGGGAAGAACAAAUGUGUAAGUAACUAUGCACGUCUUGACGGUACCUAAUCAGAAAGCCACGGCUAACUACGG